rnacentral:rRNA from 1 species
UCCUACGGGAGGCAGCAGUAGGGAAUCUUCCACAAUGGACGAAAGUCUGAUGGAGCAACGCCGCGUGAGUGAAGAAGGUUUUCGGAUCGUAAAACUCUGUUGUUGGAGAAGAACGUAUUUGAUAGUAACUGAUCAGGUAGUGACGGUAUCCAACCAGAAAGCCACGGCUAACUACGUGCCAGCAGCCGCGGUAAU